GACGAACGCUGGCGGCGUGCCUAAUACAUGCAAGUCGAGCGAAUCAUUAGGAGCUUGCUCCUGAUGGUUAGCGGCGGACGGGUGAGUAACACGUGGGCAACCUGCCUAUAAGACUGGGAUAACUUCGGGAAACCGGAGCUAAUACCGGAUAAUCCUUUUCCUCUCAUGAGGAAGAGUUGAAAGACGGUUUCGGCUGUCACUUAUAGAUGGGCCCGCGGCGCAUUAGCUAGUUGGUGAGGUAACGGCUCACCAAGGCGACGAUGCGUAGCCGACCUGAGAGGGUGAUCGGCCACACUGGGACUGAGACACGGCCCAGACUCCUACGGGAGGCAGCAGUAGGGAAUCUUCCGCAAUGGACGAAAGUCUGACGGAGCAACGCCGCGUGAACGAUGAAGGCCUUCGGGUCGUAAAGUUCUGUUGUUAGGGAAGAACAAGUAUCGGAGUAACUGCCGGUACCUUGACGGUACCUAACCAGAAAGCCACGGCUAACUACGUGCCAGCAGCCGCCGUAAUAC
rnacentral:rRNA from 1 species